UACGGAGGGUGCAAGCGUUAUCCGGAUUCACUGGGUUUAAAGGGUGCGUAGGCGGGUUGGUAAGUCAGUGGUGAAAUCUUCAAGCUUAACUUGGAAACUGCCGUUGGACUAUAUAAUCUUGAAUAUUGUGGAGGUAAGCGGAAUAUGUCAUGUAGCGGUGAAAUGCUUAGAUAUGACAUAGAACACCAAUUGCGAAGGCAGUUUACUACAGGGAUAUUGACACUGAGGCACGAAAGCGUGGGGAUCAAACAGG
rnacentral:rRNA from 1 species